ACAGUUGGGCAGAAAGCCCGCCAGGCUGAUCACCUCGCCUGGUCGGACUUUCUGCCCCCUAAAACUGU
rnacentral:pre_miRNA from 1 species